UCCUCGGAUCAGGUAGGGAUACCCGCUGAACUUAAGCAUAUCAAUAA
rnacentral:rRNA from 1 species